CCGGAGGCCACUGCUAUUGGGAUCCGAUUAAGCCAUGCGAGUCGAGAGGAUUCGGCCCUCGGCAGACUGCUCAGUAGCACGUGGAUAACCUACCCUUAGGUGGAAGAUAAUCUCGGGAAACUGAGAAUAAUAUUCCAUAGAUCUAGAAUGCUGGAAUGCAUCUAGAUUGAAAGUUCCGGCGCCUAAGGAUGGGUCUGCGGACUAUCAGGUUGUAGUCAGGGUAAAGACCUGACUAGCCUACGACGGAUACGGGUUGUGAGAGCAAUAACCCGGAGACGAUAUCUGAGACACGAUAUCGGGCCCUACGGGGCGCAGCAGGCGCGAAAACUUCACACUGUGCGAAAGCACGAUGAGGGAAUCCCAAGUGUUUGCUCGUAAGAGUAAACUGUUUCUUUGUUUAAAACGCAGAGAGAGUAAGGGCUGGGUAAGACGGGUGCCAGCCGCCGCGGUAAUACCUGCAGCUCAAGUGGUGAUCAUUAUUAUUGGGCCUAAAACGCCCGUAGCCGGUUUAGUAAAUGCCUGGGUAAAUCGUGUAGCUUAACUAUACGACUUCCGGGUAGACUGCUAAACUUGAGACCGGGAGAGGCUAGAGGUACUCCUGGGGUAGAGGUGGAAUUCUGUAAUCCUAGGGGGACCACCAGUGGCGAAAGCGUCUAGCUAGAACGGGUCUGACAGUGAGGGACGAAGCCCUGGGGCGCAAACCGGAUUAGAUACCCAGGUAGUCCAGGGUGUAAACGCUGCUUGCUUGAUGUUAAUUUGGGCCCCGAGCCCAACUAAUUUCGGAGAGAAGUUGUUAACCUACUCCUAUGCUAUACGGCUAAGUAGUCCAUAAUUCAAUGGCUUC
rnacentral:rRNA from 1 species